rnacentral:rRNA from 1 species
UUUAAUUAUUAUAUAUAAAAGUGAAAAUAUAAAAUAUAAAUUAAUUUUAGUUGGGGCAACUGGGAGGGAUAAAAAUCUUUUAUUAAAUCAUUUAUAGUAAUAUUUAUAUUUAUGAUCCAAAUUAGUUAAUUUUGAACUUAGAAU